UCCGGUUGCGUACUUGGGGUACUUUAACAGCAAAUAUCCACUCUCUCCUUGACGUCUUUAUCGAUUCAGAUUCAGUCCUAGAAAUCACUUAACUUGUCUGUGGUAAGAGCAGUUUUAUAAGAGUAUUAUUGAAGUCUGUGUGCGCAUGUAAGACCCUGUGUGUAUGAAGAUGCCAAGCCUAUCUGUAAAUGUGUGUGUGUGUUUGUGUGUGUUUUCAUGUGUGUGUGUCGUCUCCAGAGAGAAGCAUUCUGAUACUAUUGUUAGUGAAAUCUAAUCUGUGUGUGUCGUAUUGGGUUGGGGGCUGGAGGGGUCUGGGUACCAGGGGAAAGUGUGUGUGUGUGUGUGUGUGUGUGUGUGUGUGUGUGUGUGUGUGUGUGUGUGUGUGUGUGUGUGUGUGUGUGUGUGUGUGUGUGUGUGUGUGUGUGUGAUGUUGUUUUGGAGGACAUUGUGCUGAGCUCGGGUCUUCGGCAGCCUCUUUCUCCAUUAAUGCUCCAUUAGCCAAAUUAGAGGCCUAAUUGGGGAGGCGAGGAGAGCUCUCUCAAAAGCAGCGUGUGUGUGUGUUGGUGUGUGUUUGUGUGUGUGUGUGUGCUGGGUCAUUUACUGUAAAAGAAGACGUCUGAAAGGACAUUUGAUUUCAGACAGGAGGGCUGUUAUCAGCAGGGCCUGUGAAUGGGUAAAGGUGCAACUUUGGAUGAGAAAUGUUGGGCUCUUUGGCUGAAACGCCGGACAUAUCCGAGCUCUGACGACAGCAGCUGAUGCUAAUGGACCAUCCUGAAGGCCUUAAAGGGCAGGCGGCUGGCAAUUUGAUUAGCAGGUUAUUAGCUAAUUAGCUAGCUACUUAGUGUGCUUGUUGCCCUCAAGGCCUGGUGGUGGGGAGGGAAACUGGAAGAGACACGAGGCAGGAGUGUUCAUUCAUUGUGUGAGUGAGUGAGUGUGGAGAGAGAGAGGCACUUACCUUCACAUUCUCAGACCAAAGAGGAGAAAACUGGACCACAUCCUAACAUAUUCAAACCAAGUUGUCAUGAUAUUUUUUAUAUAACCUUUAUUUAACCAGGUAACAACCCGUUGAGAUCGAGAUCUCAUUCACAAGAGUGACCAGGCCAAGAGGUCGCCAGCACACAUCAUAAUGAUAAACUAGUGGAAAUGCUGAGUGCCGAAAGCUGAAAAAGGAAUGCAAAACUGCUAAUAAAACAUGGAGAAAGGUAUAAAUGUAAAAGCUGUUAGAGGGUGAAAAAGAAAUGGAAGUUGGAUAAUUGUGAAAAUGGUUCAAGGACAAAUAGUAUGAAUAUGCUCCAUAAAUUGAACAUUUAUUCAUGCUGAAAGAGGUUAGAAAAAAAAUGUCUGAAAUUGCACAAAGUUUGAAUGAAGAAGGAAAUUACCUUAAAAGGCAGGAAGGUGAGAAGUGGCGUAAGUUUAAGUUGUAGUACUAGAAGUAGUAUGAUGACUAGUCAUAGUAGUGAUAUUAGUAGUCAUGUAAGCAGUAGAAGUAGGUUGAGAAUAGAAGAAGUAGAAGUCAAAGUGGUAGGACUAGUGGUAGAAGUAGUUGAAGCAGUAGAGAAAGUAGAAGUAGUAGAAAUAGUAGUUGAAGUAGAAGUUUAAUUAAUAUUAGCAGUAGUUGUAGUAGAAGUGGGAUUUUGUUUGUAGGAUUGAAUAAUGCAUGAAUAUUAAAACUAAUUUAAAACAGGGAAGAUUUUAAUAAUUACAAAUCCUAAAAUAUUAGAAAGGUUGUAAGUAUCAGAAAGGUUUGAAUCAGUUUGAUUAGCUUCAUGUGUCUCAUAUGGCUACUAGAAGCAGCUUUCCAGUCAGCUGAGCGGAUCAGUUGUCUCUAAAUCUAUAAUGUACACAUUAUAGAUGUGGAUUUUUCUCUUUUUGUUGCUUUUUUCAUUUAUUUAUCUAUUCUUUAUUAAAUCCUUAUUUCUGCAUUUCGGUCUUUUUCUUUGUUUAACCCUGCCCAGCGUGACACAAAUAACUCUAAAGUAGCUGGCAGAAACAGCCGCAAUAUGAUAAACUGUAAAUGAGUAAAAGUUUGAGCUAAUCCUCUGAGGUCUGCAGGUCAUCCUGAAAUCUUCCAACCUCUGCACUUCUCACUGGCCUGUUAAACUGCGCCGUGGAGUUUUGUGCAGGGAAGAAAAAAUAUUAAAUGCUCUUUUUUUUGUUUUCAUCGUGACCCUUCUUUCACUCCCAGAUCACACACGAGUCAAAAUACUGCUCAAUGAAGAAAGACGGCGUGUCCUCAGGAGCUGACGCGUCUCUCUUCACACAUUAAAUCUUUGUUUUCUUUGAAAACAGAGCAGCAUCCAGGUAUUGUGCUGCAGGAGCGGCUCAGCAGCUGAAGAGAAGAAUUGAUGGUGGUUUGACAUUUUUUUCUGCUGGCAGGCACACCGAAGGAGAGACGAACAACCAGAGUGUGUGGUCUCAUUUUUGCAAACUUUGAAACGUCUUAAUCUACAUUUCAGCGUGUCAUGUUUAUGAAAUGAUGUCAGUAUUUAGUUAAAGCUGCAGUGAGGAGUUUUUAAACCAGGCUGAUGUCUCUUUAGUUCAUGAACUACAAAAACAAACAAGGCGAUCAGUGACAUGAUUGUUUUUAUUGUAGUUUUUUUUGUCUGUAACUGCAUCAGAUGGAGUCAUGGCUAACCUUGGCCUUUGCUUUGAUUUUCCACAGUGAAGAUUCUUGAUGAUGGAAAUAUUAGAUAGUUUGAAACAGCAGAACGACGUUUCAAAGAUGAGAGCAGCUUGACAAUGAGAUUUAUAUUUUGACCACAGGGGGCGCCAAAAUCAACACAAACUUAAAGUCCCCCAAAAGAGGUUGGAGGAAGAUAUGUAUCUAUGAAAGGCUCAUUUUCAGUUAAUAUAGUGAUUUAUAUAUUCAUUAAUAUUCAGACGAUUAUAAAAGUAGUGUAAACAUACUUUUGAAUAUCAUACCCCCUUUUUACCAGGUCUGCUGCUGAGGUCUAAAAAAAUCUAAACGUAGUUUUGACUUUGUGGAGCCUGUCAGUGGCAGUCUCCAGAUUGGCAAUGCUAGCUCAACCUAACUUUUGUCAACCUACCAGAGGCGGGCCUUUAGCCUCUUCAUAAAUGGCCACAGUUUGCGUGUCAGUCAAGUCAGUUGUGUCUCUGAUUUGCUAAUCUUGUCUCCUUGACAACUACAAAAAAGUUUAACUCACCGUACUGUGGGUGCUGUGGGAGCCCCGAGCUAUUCAGGCCAAAACUGUUUCAGAAACCAGACUGUAAACAUGUUUAUUUUGUUCUAAAAAUGGCCCAUUUUCUUGCUUAGUGUGUAUGUGGUUUCUGGUGUUUCUGCAGACAGCCUCUAGUGGACACUCAAAGAACUACAAGUGUUUCUUUGUACUUCCAUAUUGGCUUCAUUUCAGCUACACUUCAAUUACUCUAUCACCAAGUAAAGAAAAUGGUAAACAUAUAAAAGUCAAAAUAAUUGAGGAUAGAUGGAGUGUUCAAAGUUGGAGUAUUAAGGCCCGAAACAUAUUUGAGGUUAAUUUCCAUCAGUUUAACGCACUUUCCUUUCACUGGUUUAGGAAGAGUCAUUAAAUUAUUUGUACUGGAAAUGCUCUGGACUCUGGUUUUUGGACUCUGGAGGAACUGCUGUUUUUUUUGCACAUCUGCAUUCGCUUCAUUCUUCAACACAUGAGGUUGCUGCUUGCACACUACUUAAUCCCAGCUGCCCCAGAGGCUCAUGGGUGAUUAUCCACCGCCACAUCUCUGCCUUCUCUUAUCAGCAAGUCAGGGUGUGUUGUAGGAUGAUUAAUCAAUAAUUUUAAUGGCUGUUGUUCGUCUUCAUGGAGGACCUCUCUGGGGAUGAUGGAGGCAUGCGACAAUCGAUUAUGAUGUGACGCUGAUGUGGCAACAAGCUUGUGGAAUAGUUGGAUUGGAUUUACUUUUUAACCCUUAUUUAUGCCAAAAAGUAUAUCAGUUUUGUUAAAGUUUUAAAUCCCCUUCAGCCAAGAAAGUUUUGGAUCAACAUCUCAGACUUUUUAAAACCUUCUCAUCUUAGAAUAAACCUUGUAUUCAGACUACAUGUUCAGCUUUGGUUUGCCCUUGAUCGAGCUGGUCUCUGCUGCAAACCCUGCUGAUUUCUGGAAAAAUUGAAGCCCCGGUAAAUAACUAGGUUACCAAGCCUGUAAUUUGUAAGUAAUAGAAGUUGUCCUGGGUGAGGGCACAUAGAUAUGGUCCAGGAAAUGUUUUUAAACAUGGGAGGCAGCAGGGGAAAAUCCAGAGAGGCCGCUCCACUUCAAUCCUGGUAAACGGGGACAAACAGGAUUAAGUUGGAGGUAGCGGACUGGGGAGAGGGCAAGCUUAACCUCGGGACUUUCAACAGCUCUGAGUGGAUGCUG